GUGAUCCUCGAUGCUGUUGUCUUUUGGUCGACCACAGUAACAGACGUCUCCUGAAUUCGCAAUUCACUUAGUCACGUACGAUUGAGCAAAAAAUUUAACCAACUCUGUUCUUUUUAAGAAAAGAAACCUCAGAGCUUAAGAAGGAGAUAUAUUGAUUAUAUUGAUUGUAACUAGAAAUUCAACCCAAAGAACACACGAGACGAUGGGUUUCAAAAGAAACUUGUUAUUCAUACUUGUUGUUUUCAACAUGUUUAGCUUGGGAUACCUAUGUCAAUCACAUCCACGUGAGCCACCUAAACAUUGUCAGGUAGACUAUGACUCUGGUCCUUGCUUCUCGGAUGAGAUGGAAAUGAAAAGAGAAUUUGAAUGGAGAUAUUUUUAUUCGACAGCAACGAAAAAUUGUCAUAAUUUUAUGUAUGGAGGCUGCGGAGGAAAUAGCAAUAAUUUUAAAACUUAUUCAGAAUGUCUUACAGCAUGCAAUCAAUAUAUGCAUUAACAGUGAAAAAUAUUUUAAAUCCACUCGGGAAUAUAAAAUUCUUUAAAACUUAUCAUUUUUGAAGGUUUCCCAUAUAUUGAUAUGUAUUUGUAAUAAUUUUAUAUUGAGUUGAAACUCAAGUGCUAAAUGAAAGACUUUGUGAAGUCUUUAUGAAAUAUUUGCAAAAGUAUUUUAUUUUACAAUAAAUGACUGUAAUGAAAUAAAAUGUGCGGAUAUGUAUAU